rnacentral:rRNA from 1 species
GACAGGUGGUGCAUGGUUGUCGUCAGCUCGUGUCGUGAGAUGUUGGGUUAAGUCCCGCAACGAGCGCAACCCUCGACCUUAGUUGCCAGCAUUCAGUUGGGCACUCUAAGGUGACUGCCGGCUAAAAGUCGGAGGAAGUGGGGAUGACGUCAAAUCAUCAUGCCCCUUAUGACCUGGGCUACACACGUGCUACAAUGGGCGGUACAAAGGGUCGCGAACCCGCGAGGGGGAGCCAAUCCCAAAAAGCCGCUCUCAGUUCGGAUUGCAGGCUGCGACUCGCCUGCAUGAAGCCGGAAUCGCUAGUAAUCGCGGAUCAGCAUGCCGCGGUCGAAUACGUUCCCGGGCCUU